rnacentral:rRNA from 1 species
CAGUCGCCACGGGAAUACGAGGGUGGCAAGCGUUGUUCGGAAUUAUUGGGCGUAAAGGGUGCGUAGGCGGCUUGACAAGUCUUGUGUGAAAUCUAUGGGCUCAACCCAUAGUCUGCACGGGAAACUGUCGGGCUUGAGAAUGGGAGAGGUGAGUGGAAUUUCCGGUGUAGCGGUGAAAUGCGUAGAUAUCGGAAGGAACACCUGUGGCGAAAGCGGCUCACUGGACCAUUUCUGACGCUGAUGCACGAAAGCUAGGGGAGCAAACAGGAUUAGAUACCCCCGUAGUCCCUGUCUCUUAUAC